ACCGGUUCUUCAAAUUUCAGGGUCCUCUCUUUCAGCAGCGUCCAUACCCAUCUCCUGGAGCAGUCUUACGUAGGAAUGCUGAAAUUGCCUCUCAAAAGAAAAAUCCUAAAUCGCAUCUUACCCCUAUAUCUAAGAGAGGUGAUGGUAAGGAUGGACUGGGUGAUGCUGAUUGAAGAAUUUAAGCCUUCAUGUUAUAUUAUUUGCUUAAAGAGGAUUCACAGAGGGAGUUUCUCCAGUUGAAGUUGCUAGACAACAAGGCGCUAAACAUUAUUACACACAUUCUAUCGUAAAUUUGUAGCUAAAACGCUAGUGUGUAUUCUUUUUAUCUUUUAUUUUUUUGUUAGAGACUUCCAAAACUUUAGAAACAGGGACUAUCUUAGGAGCAUAGACCAGCCGCUGUAUAGAAGCUGUUAGUUGUAACCUCUUAUAUAUGAUUGGCAUAUGAUUUUUGUAACGAGCGGAUGAGUAGAGAAAGACUUGUCCUGAAGUGGAGUCAACUUGAAGUCUCUACUAAAGUCUGCACGCUGUUGCAGGAUCAGGAACUGAGUUUUUAUUUCUCUUAUCUAAUUCGUUUCACUA